AAACUGUCAAUGCCUGCUUCCUGCAGGAGAAAAAUACUUUUUCUCAUUGCAAAAUAAAGGCUUACAUCCUUACCAAUGAAAAUAACGAAUGGUGUGUGGACCCAAGAGCUUGGUGGCUCCAACAAAGACUCUGGAGGUUAAAGCAAAGAGGAAUAUGUUGCCAAAUCAUCUGACAGACCUUUGACAAUCACAACGAAUAAUGCAUCAUGACCUCCUAUCCAGAAUUUUUUCUUUUUUUCUUUCUAACAAUUUAGAUCAAAUUUCUCUGUAAACAUUUAAAUAUGUUACUGAUGUCUUUGUAGGAAUUUUCAUUGUCUAAUAAACUAUUAAAGAGUUUCAACCAU